UACGUAGGGGGCAAGCGUUGUCCGGAAUCAUUGGACGUAAAGAGCGUGUAGGCGGCUUGGUAAGUCCGCUGUGAAAGUCCAGGGCUCAACCCUGGAAAGCCGGUGGAAACUGUCAAGCUUGAGUCCGGAAGAGGCGAGUGGAAUUCCUGGUGUAGCGGUGAAAUGCGCAGAUAUCAGGAGGAACACCAAUGGCGAAGGCAGCUCGCUGGGACGGUACUGACGCUGAGACGCGAAAGCGUGGGGAGCAAACAGG
rnacentral:rRNA from 1 species